CCUACGGGAGGCAGCAGUGGGGAAUAUUGCACAAUGGGGGGAACCCUGAUGCAGCGACGCCGCGUGGGUGAAGGAGUAUUUCGGUAUGUAAAGCCCUAUCAGCAGGGAAGAACAAUGACGGUACCUGACUAAGAAGCACCGGCUAAAUACGUGCCAGCAGCCGCGGUAAUACGUAUGGUGCAAGCGUUAUCCGGAUGUACUGGGUGUAAAGGGAGGGCAGGCGGCGCGUUAAGCCUGGUGUGAAAGUCCGCGGCCCAACCGCGGGACUGCAUUGGGAACUGGCGCGCUGGAGUGCCGGAGGGGUAGGCGGAAUUCCUAGUGUAGCGGUGAAAUGCGUAGAUAUUAGGAGGAACACCAGUGGCGAAGGCGGCCUACUGGACGGUGACUGACGCUGAGGCUCGAAAGCGUGGGGAGCAAACAGGAUUAGAUACCCCAGUAGUC
rnacentral:rRNA from 1 species